rnacentral:rRNA from 1 species
AUUCCAGCAAAACUCAAGAAUUUUGUUUGGAGAUUGGCACAUAAUUCAAUUCCGACUGAAGGUGUCCGAUUUCAGCGACAUAUGUCAGACACAAAUGUGUGCAAAAUAUGCAAUGGUGCAGUGGAUAGCUGGAAGCACGCACUCAUUGAAUGCCCGGUGGCAAAAUGUGUGUGGGCAUUACUUGAUGAAGAGCUUGUUGAACAUAUGGUUGCUAUAUCUACUGAUAAUGCUCGGCUGUGGCUUGUCGAACUGGAAGACUCUGUUUCUGUCGAGCAGUUUAUUAUGGCUAUUGUUGCACUUUGGUCUAUUUGGUGGGCAAGGAGGAAAGUAAUACACGAACAACAAUUCCAGUCGCCUCUGUCCACUUGGAGCUUUAUAAAGAAUUACCUAGAAGGCUUAAAGCAACCUGCUCCCCAGUCUGUCCAAGUUAGAGGAGGGCAGAAGUGGAUGCCACCACAAACAGGAUGGGUUAAGGUUCAUGUCGAUGCUGCGAUCUUGCAUAAUGGUCAACGGGGUGCCAUGGCAACGGUGUGCCGGGGCAGCACUAGUCUGUUCCUUGGGGCGUCGGCGAUGACAGUCGAUGAUAUGACAAACCCAGAGAUUCUUGAGGCAAUGGCAAGCAGCGAGGGGCUCUCUUUAGCUCUUGACCUUAAUGUUCAAAAGGUGCUGAUAUCAACGGACUGCUUGGCCACUGUCAAACACAUUAAGGAGCACUACCUGGGCGCUAGUAUGGUGGUGGUGGAGGAGAUCAAGUCCAAGCUUUUGAUGUUCAAUUCUUCAAACUUAAUUCAUGAAGCUCGUGGCUAUAAUAAGGAAGCUCAUUUUCUUGCUAAAGCUGCAACUUCCUUAGCCCCGGGACGCCAUCUUUGGCUAACGGAAAGACCUGACAUAGUUUGUAUCCCUUUAUCUGUUGAGAUUUAA